rnacentral:rRNA from 1 species
GUGGGGAAUAUUGGACAAUGGGCGAAAGCCUGAUCCAGCCAUGUCGCGUGUGUGAAGAAGGUCUUCGGAUUGUAAAGCACUUUAAGUUGGGAGGAAGGGCAGUAAGUUAAUACCUUGCUGUUUUGACGUUACCGACAGAAUAAGCACCGGCUAACUUCGUGCCAGCAGCCGCGGUAAUACGAAGGGUGCAAGCGUUAAUCGGAAUUACUGGGCGUAAAGCGCGCGUAGGUGGUUUUGUAAGUUGGAGGUGAAAUCCCCGGGCUCAACCUGGGAACUGCCUCCAAAACUGCAUGACUAGAGUACGGUAGAGGGUAGUGGAAUUUCCGGUGUAGCGGUGAAAUGCGUAGAUAUAGGAAGGAACACCAGUGGCGAAGGCGACUACCUGGACUGAUACUGACACUGAGGUGCGAAAGCGUGGGGAGCAAACAGGAUUAGAUACCCCUGUAGUCC